AAGUUUUGAUGCUUCAGACCUACCUGUAACAUCAUUCUAGGCGAAAGACUUGUAACGGGAGCUUGUAAAGUCUUCUUUUUGUCUUGUGGAGUGGCUUACUCGGUCCAUCGUUAUUUCAUCGUACCGUAAUUGGUCAUCUUGUGUAGUAGUUCCGGAAAAACUGUUUAUCACGCGAUUAUACUGAAGUUCGAGCUUGACAUAUCCAUAGAUGUCUCUUCGUUGGUCUAGUUACAAUAAAACACGGGCUUCUGCAAGGAGGUUAUUGGUGCGAGUUUGGCUUUGGGUUCCUGCUCUAACGGUAAAGCUUCACGCAUGAUAAUGCUGUUCUCUUUAGCAACUGCUCUUGACAGGUGUUAAAUGUGAGCACCGCGGGUUGAGAGACACAUCGAAACGAAGGCGCUGAUAAACCCUCGACAUGAAUUUUGCUCAAAAAUGCUAGACACGUUGUAAGAAGAUUGAUUUAUCGAUGUGGCCGCUUGGGUAUGUGUAAGGCCUCGCGUACCUGCCUCACCACAUCCCCAUCCCAGAGAAGUUGAUUGGAAGAUUUGAUAACUGAAGACUUGGCCACCGUCGACAACGCUAUGCUUGGUCGCGGUUGGCAAGAGUGGAUUAUAAUUUGGAUAUCGACCAUAGUGAACAUUAUAAAAACCUUCAAAACUUCAAUAUUAGCAUUUAGGUAAUAUAAAUUGUUUUGAUAUCCUCUAUAGUUAAGUGUCGUAAUGUGACUUUUGAAACUCCCUACAAAUGACAUCUGUUCACAUUGGUUUAUAUGUUGCUGUAUAAACACGAGCUAUGAGUUUGCUCUAAAAACACGGACAAUGAGUUUGUUACUCUAUAAACACAGGCAAUGAGUUUGAAAUUUUACUCCUAAAUACUCCUGAACACUGGCAAGUUUUGUGAUGGUUACCCACGAAUAGGUACUGGCAGUGCUAUCCAUGAACGUGGCAAUGAAUUUGUUAUGAACUUAUAAAAUAAGGCUAGCCGUGAAUACAGCUAGUGAGCAAAUG